CCGAUGUUCCCCCUUCUGCAAUCGCUCUUCUGCAAAACCUUGAAUUUGUUUUGCUCUUCUCCUUAGCUCAUCAUGUUCCGUACUUUCAGGGUUCAUAAACCUCGCUACAAGCAUUGAUAUUUCCUCCCUCGUCACAACAUUAUCAGCUCCUUUGCGCUCUCUUCCUCGCCAUCCAACUUUCCAAUCCUCUACAAUUUGCUUACCGUUGGGAGUCUGAUCAAAGUAUAUAGGGAAAGUAAGAAUAGGAACGCCAGCGAAAGUUGCCUCUAAAACUGAGAUCCAGCCACAAUGGGACAAAAAUUCCCCUACAGAAGAAUGGCACAGAACCCUCAAUUGUUCACACCAAGACACAAAAAGCCUCUUGUCCCGGAAUCUUGCUUCCACCAUGAGUUGUCUCCGCGAGCCUCCCACAAGAAUCUCACACCACUUUCCUGCACGCCUGCAACAAUUUCCUCCAUCUGCAUACUUGAAACAGAGAGAUGGCUCCCUAAUGAUAUGUACAGAACAGAGCCUCUUGGAUGAGAAUCUAACCAUUCCAUAUAGUUGGGGCUAUGGCCUUCUGUGCGACGGUCGUUAUUCAUGUCAAGGAAUGGGAUUGCAGGGCCAACGGAGUAGACAGGGAAAGAGUAUAUGCCUUUAAGAAUAUCGAUGACUUGGGUUUCAAGCUCGUAGAUGGAAUUCAUGAGGAGAUACUGCGCUUGUUUGACCCUUGAUAUGCAUUGCAAGCUUAGCUGCAAUACUCUGUUAUCGUUUCCGUGGAAGAUAGCGGGUAAAUCUACGUUCUUGUUGAGGAAACUCCAGGGAUAUUCUCCACGCGUUCUUCUCCAUGCUCUAUGUUCAUUUUGGCGAAGGAGAUGAAAGUGGAGGAACAUGGAAAACACUGAUGCAGAACUGGUCCAGAGAAUAGCCACCGGAAUAUUCCAGCGAUUGGCAAGAGGGACAGCCCACUGAAGUUCGGCUUCAGCUAUAAUAAGGGUCACGCGCGUCUGAAUUUUUGAAGGAGAUCUUCAAAGGGAGCUUCCAUUUUUGUCAUCACAGCCUCAUAGAACCCAAGGAAGUUGGAGCCACGGACUAGCUCAGACGGGAGCACGUUGGGAACUGUGGAGAUGGUUAGAUUAUUGGGCCUGGUUUGAUCGGAGCCGAGUAAGCCCUGCCGCUCUUCUGUGACAACAAAAGUUAUGAGAAUUUCUUGGUCAUGAGAUGCCAUCAGAGAAGCUAGAAUUUUACAGAGGUUCAUCAUUGGAUUGGCAUGGCCUCUUCCCGGAUACGGCACCGCCAGCACGUGGUACGCCAUAGCUGAGUUUUCUUCGCCAGACCCCUGACCUUCAAGUUGAGUGUCCUGUGGCUUCUAAGUUCUGAAGUCUGAACUGAGUUUGCUUUGUCUAAUUGAAACAAUGGUGUUCGUAAAUUUCCUAUCUUUGAGAAUAAGAUAAUAAAUUUGGUCGGUUUUUUCU